UGUAAGCGUAUACCAAAGUUGUUGCAGUUAAAACGCUCGUAGUCGGAAUUUGGCAGUUCCGGAUGUGUGCACGUCGUGUGCGCACUUCGCGGGGAUUGCUUUUGUGGUCUUGCGUAGGAUGAGGCACUUUUAUUAGUGAACGUCCUCACGCAACCACUUUUUACUGUGAGAAAAUCAGAGUGCUCAAAGCAGGCAUUUGCCGUGAAUGUAUUAGCAUGGAAUAAUAGAAUAGGACUUGGUUCUAUUUUGUUGGUUUGUUGGGACUGAGUAAUGAUUAAGAGGGACAGUUGGGGGCAUUUGUAUUUCGGCGCUAGAGGUGAAAUUCUUAGAUUGCCGAAAGACAAACUGCUGCGAAAGCGACUGCCAAGGAUGUUUUCAUUGA
rnacentral:rRNA from 1 species